UGUAAUAUCAAAUUUUGCAAGGUUGAGCUUCAAUUAAUCUAGCAUACAUCUCAUCCACAAUUCAUAACUCAAUAUCAAAUCUCCAAUUAAAUUAGCAUAGUCAACCAAACUAUCUAACCCACACAAGCACACAACUAAAUAAUUUUUUUUUUUUAAUUUUGAAAAUUUUCGAUUAUUUGUCAUUUUUUCCUCUUUUUCAUUUUUUUUAAAAUAAACACACAAACACAUGUAAACACAUGAAAAAUAAAAACGAAAAGUUUUUUCACCCCCAAACUUAAAACUGACAUUGUCCUCAAUGUUAUAAAACAUAAACAAGCACAUAAAGCGGGUAGGAAAGAAAAAGAAGAGGGCACUCCCAAAUUUUUCGGUUGAAUGUGUGAGGCAAUAUGUGAGGCGACUGGGUAAUAUUCUUCAUCAUUUUUUUCCUUGGAUCUAUGUUGGAUUGAGUGUUCCACGACGUCAUGUUCCUGAAAAAUCAAAUUUGACAAAUUAAAGAUAAGGAACAAGGGUUACUUAGCUCAAACAAUCAAUAUAACCAACAAUAAAUUCAAGUGCUUGAGGGCGGAAGGGAUAUGGGUGCUGACUCCUAAAAAUUGAAACGUGCCUAAAUCUAAUGCAAUCUAGUAAACAAAACAAAACUAUAUGCUAUGCGAUACGAAAAACAAAAUAAAAAGUUUGAAAAUUGGGUUGCCUCCCAAUAAGCGCUUCUUUUAAGUCGUUAGCUAGACUUUGUGCUGNNN
rnacentral:lncRNA from 1 species